rnacentral:lncRNA from 1 species
CGGUACCUUAAUUUAAUAUUCCUUUCACUUUCCUUGUUCAGCGUGGACCCAACUCUAAAGACUGAUCAUCGUCAACAUCAUCUUCGUCAUCACUGUUUGACUUAUCAUAUGAUUGUCUUAAUCUAGCAAGAAAGAUGAGGGAAAAUCAGGUGUUACCGACAUACGUAUAUUGACAAAAUGUAUGUGAUAUUUUGUUAGCCAAGUCACAUUGUUAACCAAUUAACUAACCACAGAAAACAUAAUAUCUGUCAGAAAAGAAAAGUAUUAACCAUAACCAAUUAGAAAAACUUGGCGGAUAAGGCAAGACUCACUAGCCAUAACCAUUUGAGGACUGAUUCCAAUCGAGUGGAGUUGAAUCGGCCAAAGUCUGCCCAUUGGAUUUUGGUGCCACAAUGUUCAUAUUUUCACUGAAUUCAACUUUGUUUUCCUUUUGAUAGCAUCCCCAAAUUUGCACCUUGGAACAGUGGAGGAAAAAAGAAGAAAAUAAAAAAUAAAGAUUCACCAUCGAACAAUAACAUUUAAAAAAAUUUCUCGAUAAAAUUCUCAGCAAUAUACAUAAAAAAAAAAUCAAUUUUUAUGUUCAUCAAACCAUUAAAGAAUUGUCAGUAAACAUGGGUCAUCAAAAUAUACCAUAAAGAUAAAAUUGAUCAAGAUCAGAUUAUCAUUCAUCGUUUCAUCUACCCGAAAACAAUCACUAGUUUGUUCACUUAACAAACCGUCAGGCCAUAUAUCAUUGUUGUUUUUAAACGAACAAUUGAACAUUAUUCACUAACCCCAUACAUUCUACAAAAUUGAUUAUCAUUUUUCCAAAAUCAAAAUCAGUCAAUAACCCGCCCAACUUUUUCAAAUCACAGGCGGUGUGUGAGGAAGAAGACGUAGCCGCGGGACCCAACCUAAGUUUUGUGUUUUUUUUUUUUUUUUUGGUGCUAAACGGUGUUUUGGU